rnacentral:tRNA from 1 species
GGCCGUUUAGUCUAGUGGUAUGAUUCUCGCUUCGGGUGCGAGAGGUCCCGGGUUCGAUUCCCGGAACGGNGG